UGUAGUUCAUUUUUUGUUAAUCAGGAAUUAGUACAAGGUAAAAUAAUUAGCAUCUCAUUAAUUAAUUAGUCUCAAGUCGAAUAACUAACAAGCAAAUCUUUACUAAGUAUUGGUCUAGUGUUGAGAAGAAGGGUGGUUAUUCCCACCAACCGUGUUUGAUUAAUCCCAUUACAUAUAUACACAUGGGCUUUAAAGUUUCAAAACCAGUGCAUGUGCCAUAAAAUUCUAAGCGUAGUGGACACACACGCAUGUGUGUAUCAUGUGAUGUGAAUUCCACAUGAUGACAAACACCAAUAUAAUACACAUCAUUGUAGGGUUGCCUUGUGGCUAUGAGAUGCAUGUAGGUGCAGUAUGCCAUAUCUCAAAUAGAGCGCAUGCAAGUCUUAGAUCAUCAGCAAGUUUUGUGAGGUAAACAUACACGGAGAAUAUGGCAACCAAUAGUCGUAAGAGUGUGAUUAUGGGAGUAGUCAUAACAGUUCUUGUCAUACAGCAGGCCUAGGUAGAAGCCAAGAGCUGUUGUUGUUCCAUCUCGGGAAGAAACUGCUAUAACGCAUGCCGUGUCACGGGUGCCUCUCGCAAAACAUGUGCAAGGUUGUGUGGUUGCAAAAUUCUUGACAAGUGUGUGAGUCCUUGUGAUCGCUUCAAUCUUUACCCGGAAGCAGAAGUCAUUGAGUUUUGCAAGUUGGGAUGCAUGUCCUCCGUCUGCAACACCACAAACACUUGUGAACAAGGGAAAGAUGUCAUAGAGAAUUGCACAACUGGAUGCGAUCGUGUAUGUACCAAGGAUGUUGAAUUUGCCGCAGCUAUUGCAUAAGAAAGUCUAUACGCCGGGAUUUCAUGCCGAGAUAGUCGAAAUGUUCUUGUUGUCUUGAAUAAUUGGACAUCAUGUCCCGUCCAGUACCGUGUAAUCUUAUUUUUGUUUCUUUGCAUCUAUCGAAAAGGUGUGAUAGCUCCCGGGGUUCCAUUCCUUUCCAUAUAUUUCCAGUAAGGGUUUUGAUGGUGUGCCAUUUCCUUGCGAAAAUGUGCUCGUCAUUUUGUAAUAAUUGGAUACAGUAUCCAAUAAAAUGUGUCAACUUAUUGUGUUUUAUGGCUUUUCAAUAAAUGAAUAUUCAGUUACGCUA